UAUGAACUCUACUCCCAGGCCCAGACAAUUAAACCUCCUACCCCAUCCUCUGUUCUUUCCUCAUCUGCUGGGUAGCAUCUAGCUGAGGACCCUGAAGCCCGAGAUGAUAGCAGAGACACGUGGGCCCCUCAGUCACCGCUUGGAGGACAGUCACCAGGAGACACCCAGGUGAGGUGUCUUACCAAGUCCCAGCAGGUGGCCCUGUUGGCCCAGAAGUUUACAAGAGGCUUUCAGGACGUGGGAAGUCACCACGUGGCAUGUUGAGGGCCUUGUGAACCCAGAACCUUAGCUGCCCUGAACACGCCAAUCACUCAUUCAUUCAGCAAACAUCCCGGAGCAGCCAGGCCUGGGAGGCGAGCACUGUGCAGGGAGUGAUAAGAACCCCCGCGGAACACAGCCACCCGGGGAGACGGCAUCGGAACACGAUUAUCCUAACACGAGCCCAAGGACUGAAUCUCAGACAGUGACUUUAGGAGCAUUGUUCCUCAGGGCUUGUAGCUGUUGUCCAAGCCCAUUGGAAAGGAGUGCAAAGGCCAGGGUGUAUGUUCCAUAGUAGGGCUCUGGCUGGAACAUACCGGGACAUACACCGCCUGUCUCCAUAGGCAGAGGCCUGAGGUGCUGCUGCUGUAACUGUAUCAAAACCCAUCGGUUCAAGCAACAAAAUGCCUGGCAUGUUGUCUGCCGAGAGGGCAGUGACUUACCCCCUGGGAUUUUCUCUGGUCCAGGCAGUACAAGACCUUCUAUUCCUUAGAGAGGAUGGUUUUUAGAAACAAGGUGCUCCCAUUUCUAGACCCUUGAAAACUAGGGAUAGAACAGAGGCUGGUUGAAACCAAAUGCCACGGUUGCCGGGAAUGGCCGAGGAGACCCCUGCGGUUUGUGCUGGCCCCUCAGCGAGUGUCCAACAAAGGGAGGCCUCCCAGGGCCCAAGGUGCCACGCUGCUGGGAGCAGGUGCUCAUUGCUGCCCUGGAGAGCAGGGGCGACUUGGUGAUGCCCACGCACUGAGCUGCGCCUGCGUCCCCAGCUCUCAGCGAGUGUCCCCAGGUCCCGAGAUUAAGGACUGGGCCACAAGCAGCUUACGGAGACGGCGAUCCUGGACGCACUCACACAGGGGUGGGGGCAGACAGGCGGGAGCUGGCAGCUGUCACAAGGCGGGACCACGAACGAGCCGCGGCCACUGAGGCUGUUGGACACGGUCGGAACAGGCCCGGGGGGAGGGUGAGAGCCCCACGGCCUCCCCGCAGCGGCAGCACUACCUGCACAAGCCACCCUCGGGGGUCCAGGCCCAGGACGCAGGGGCAGCAAGCUCUCCCGUCACCAGCAAAACCACAGCGCAGCCUGAGCCCCGUGCGGGUCCCUCCCACACAGCCCUCUCUGUCUCUGGAGACGGCAGAGACCGGGAGGACAAGCAGGAGGCAGGGUGCUGCUCUUCUGAGUCUCACAGUGACUCACAGUCCUCGCACACACGGAGCUUGGGGGGAGGAAGGCACAGCUUCACAUCCCUUAGAGCUGGAAUCUCUCUUGGCCUGGCCCAGGCCUGGCCUCUCUGGGUUCCAGACUCCCCACGGGCAACCCCAGGCACUUUGGGCUCCAGGACAUGCCCUGCACUCAUCCUGAGAACCUUCCAGUCACAACACCAUCUGCACACAGCAAGGAGCUCAGAGGAGAAGGCUUCCAAGCCCACCAUGGGGAAAGGGCUAAUAGACUG